AACGUAGGACACAAGCGUUAUCCGGAGUUACUGGGCGUAAAGGGCGUGUAGGCGGACGUGUAAGUCUAUUCUGAAAGCUCCUGGCUAAACUGGGAGAGGCGAAUGGAGACUGCAUAUCUAGAGUGAGGAAGAGGAGAGUGGAAUUCCGCGUGUAGUGGUGAAAUGCGUAGAGAUGCGGAGGAACACCAGUGGCGAAGGCAGCCCCCUGGGAUAACACUGACGCUCAUGCACGAAAGCGUGGGGAGCAAACAGG
rnacentral:rRNA from 1 species